UAGCACAGUUAGCCAUCGCUAGCUAGUUAGAUAUCGAUACCAGUUACUGUCCCUAUGUAAACAGUUGUAGCCGACAGCUAUCGUAAAAAAAAAAAAAUACCAUCAGCAUCACUGUUGGUUAACAAUCUAAACAUUGUAAGUAAUUUAAGCCUAAUGCUGUCAUAUCUACCUGCGUGAUGUGUUUGUUUCUUGUAGUUAUUUCCAACAGUAACAAUUGGCCUUCUAUGAAGCCAUUAUCUAUAAGUCUAACGUUAGAUAACUACCGACAGCAACAACGUUGCAGUUGUGGAAUGCACGCGUACCAAGUGAAACUGUUUCAUUUGUAAGUAUCAUACAACGGCUCUUUAUCCCUCUUCAACCCCUUCCAUUUGCAGAAAAUGUACAUGUUAAUUCAGUGGAUCGAGGACCCUCCUACAUGGGAUGUGCUACCACAAAAUAAAGUUGUUAACAGCUUAUGCGAAGUGGGCUACAUAUGUGAUGUACAGUAUCGGGAUGAGACCAGCCCCGCUAAGAUUAUCCAGAAAGGGAGUAGAACUAAAUUAAUGAAGGCCUUGGAAGCACUGGAGAGGGGGUGCAGAAAUGCAGCUACUGGCACAGAAGAACGUGGCCGUGGUCUCAGAGAGAAACGCCCCCCAGCUCAGUUUUCACCUGCCAGCAGUGAGGAAGAUGAGGUAAGUUAUGAGGCCAAUAGCCUCAUAAAUAUGACCUUAAUUGAUGGAUCUUCUGAUCUAACUUCUGAGGGCAAUGUUAAGUCUUUUUUUUUUGAAAAUGUUCAAUCUUUUAUUAUGCUGUAGGAGGACACAAAUCCAAAACUAAAGGGGAAAAUAAUUUAACAAAGGCUCUGUCUCUGCAGUUUUUAAAUGCAUAUGAAGAGAGUGAGCCGGGAUACUCCAGAGAUGUGAACCCAGCCGCCGAUAGCAGCAUAGCUAACCAGCUUAAUGAGAUGCGAUGUCUGCUUUUAGAGAUGCGGGAGAAAAUAAUCAACCUGGAGCGUACUGUGAGAGAUCAAAUUACUCAGCCAGCGUCAUCCACAUUAUCAAGAUCAUCACCCUUAUUACCAUCAUCAUCAUCCUCAUCACCACCCUCAAGAACAACAUCAUCAACAUCACCACCCUCAAGAACA